GAUGAACGCUGGCGGCGUGCCUAAUACAUGCAAGUCGAGCGAACAGACGAGGAGCUUGCUCCUCUGACGUUAGCGGCGGACGGGUGAGUAACACGUGGAUAACCUACCUAUAAGACUGGGAUAACUUCGGGAAACCGGAGCUAAUACCGGAUAAUAUAUUGAACCGCAUGGUUCAAUAGUGAAAGACGGUUUUGCUGUCACUUAUAGAUGGAUCCGCGCCGCAUUAGCUAGUUGGUAAGGUAACGGCUUACCAAGGCAACGAUGCGUAGCCGACCUGAGAGGGUGAUCAGCCACACUGGAACUGAGACACGGUCCAGACUCCUACGGGAGGCAGCAGUAGGGAAUCUUCCGCAAUGGGCGAAAGCCUGACGGAGCAACGCCGCGUGAGUGAUGAAGGUCUUCGGAUCGUAAAACUCUGUUAUUAGGGAAGAAAAAAUGUGUAAGUAACUAUGCACGUCUUGACGGUACCUAAACAGAAAGCCACGGCUAACUACGUG
rnacentral:rRNA from 1 species